CUAUAGUCACCAGUUCCAAAUUCUGCAUUAUCAUCCCAGUCCCAGAGGACACCCCAUUAAUUUCCUAAUGUUGUCUUGCCUCUUGACCGCUGCAUUCGGGAGAGAACACAGAAGUGAGGAUGCUGUGAUUGUGACGAGGUGGAGCCCAAACGCCACAGAUUAAGAUGUUGAUGCAGCAAUGGCGAACACCUGAAGCACACUCAAGAAGAGCUGGAUAUAAAAAUAGCCAUAAA